rnacentral:rRNA from 1 species
AUGAGAGGGAGAGAGAGGAGGGAGAAAGAGAGGAAGAGGAGAGGAGGCACGGCGUCGGAUGGGAGAGUGGCCAACCCGGCUCGCGUCGGCUUGGGCCGCACCCCUCCCCGAAGAACGGCGAUGAUGGAGGGAUCCGCCGGCACCAUCCAGGCUCCCGACCGACGGACUCGCUGGGUCGCCACCCCUCCCGUGCGGUGGGGACAUCCACGGCGAUGCGGGCUGGGGACCGAGCGGCGGGGCCCGUGCCGAGGCCUUGCGGUCAUGAGGACGUCGGGUCCUCCGUACAUCGUGUUCGUUCCACGGUGGCGCGGGCGGCGACAAGCUUCAACUCUGCAUCGGGAGCAGCGACGCCGACACAAGCUUCAGUUCAUUGCUAAUCUUGGCCGGUGGUUUCGUUUUGUCUACGGCAUCGGGUCGCUUUGUGCUCCGUUGUGUGGUUGA